GCCAAGAAGUCAAACAGUGGAUACUCCUGCAAAGCAACUUGUCUGGCACUUUCAGAGCAGAAGAGGGAAAAGUGUGACUGAAGAGAGACAGCUGCUCUGUGGAAUCAUUUCCCGAGUCUACGCUGUCGACCUAAGGUUGAGUAAGCGAUGGAAGGGAAGAUGCCUAUCAAAGCCAAGGUUGUGGAAGACUCCGAGCCUCCCGAGAGAUCCUGCGAUGAAAACGUACAUAUGAUGAACAUUUACGAUCUGCUGACUAUCAAGGAUUUCCCACUAAGUCUGCUGUCCCUCCUGUCCUGAGGAACUCGCCUGAGUUAUAGAAGGUCUUUUCUCCUUCCCUUUUCUCGCCAGUGUG